GUUGCAGUAGCUCAGCUGGAUAGAGCAACGGCCUUCUAAGCCGUCGGUCGGGGGUUCGAAUCCCUCCUGCAACGCCA
rnacentral:tRNA from 3 species